GGUGGGAUGGCCGAGCGGUUAGGUUACGGACUGCAAAUCCGUCUACAGCGGUUCAACUCCGCUUCCCACCUCCA
rnacentral:tRNA from 2 species